CCGACCUUAGCUCAGUUGGUAGAGCGGAGGACUGUAGUGGGCAUAGCCUUGCAGUAAAAAUCCUUAGGUCGCUGGUUCGAAUCCGGCAGGUCGGA
rfam:Gossypium raimondii Chr13_contig_61, whole genome shotgun sequence.